rnacentral:rRNA from 1 species
AUGAACGCUAGCUACAGGCUUAACACAUGCAAGUCGAGGGGCAGCAUGAACUUAGCUUGCUAAGUUUGAUGGCGACCGGCGCACGGGUGAGUAACACGUAUCCAACCUGCCGAUGACUCGGGGAUAGCCUUUCGAAAGAAAGAUUAAUACCCGAUGGCAUAGUUCUUCCGCAUGGUAGAACUAUUAAAGAAUUUCGGUCAUCGAUGGGGAUGCGUUCCAUUAGGUUGUUGGCGGGGUAACGGCCCACCAAGCCUUCGAUGGAUAGGGGUUCUGAGAGGAAGGUCCCCCACAUUGGAACUGAGACACGGUCCAAACUCCUACGGGAGGCAGCAGUGAGGAAUAUUGGUCAAUGGACGAGAGUCUGAACCAGCCAAGUAGCGUGAAGGAUGACUGCCCUAUGGGUUGUAAACUUCUUUUAUACGGGAAUAAAGUGAGGCACGUGUGCCUUUUUGUAUGUACCGUAUGAAUAAGGAUCGGCUAACUCCGUGCCAGCAGCCGCGGUAAUACGGAGGAUCCGAGCGUUAUCCGGAUUUAUUGGGUUUAAAGGGAGCGUAGGCGGACGCUUAAGUCAGUUGUGAAAGUUUGCGGCUCAACCGUAAAAUUGCAGUUGAUACUGGGUGUCUUGAGUACAGUAGAGGCAGGCGGAAUUCGUGGUGUAGCGGUGAAAUGCUUAGAUAUCACGAAGAACUCCGAUUGCGAAGGCAGCUUGCUGGACUGUAACUGACGCUGAUGCUCGAAAGUGUGGGUAUCAAACAGGAUUAGAUACCCUGGUAGUCCACACAGUAAACGAUGAAUACUCGCUGUUUGCGAUAUACAGUAAGCGGCCAAGCGAAAGCGUUAAGUAUUCCACCUGGGGAGUACGCCGGCAACGGUGAAACUCAAAGGAAUUGACGGGGGCCCGCACAAGCGGUGGAGCAUGUGGUUUAAUUCGAAGCAACGCGAAGAACCUUACCAGGUCUUGACAUCCGAUGCAUAGCUUAGAUAUAAGUGAAGUCCUUCGGGACAUCGAGACAGGUGGUGCAUGGUUGUCGUCAGCUCGUGUCGUGAGAUGUUGGGUUAAGUCCCGCAACGAGCGCAACCCCUGUUUCUAGUUGCCAGCACGUAAAGGUGGGAACUCUAGAGAGACUGCCGGUGAUAAAUCGGAGGAAGGUGGGGACGACGUCAAAUCAUCAUGCCCCUUAUGACCUGGGCUACACACGUGCUACAAUGGAUGGUACAACGAGUUGCGAGACCGCGAGGUCAAGCUAAUCUCUUAAAGCCAUUCUCAGUUCGGACUGUAGGCUGCAACUCGCCUACACGAAGUCGGAAUCGCUAGUAAUCGCGGAUCAGCACGCCGCGGUGAAUACGUUCCCGGGCCUUGUACACACCGCCCGUCACACCAUGAGAGUCGGGAAUACCCGAAGCCUGUGAGCCAACAUAUUUAUAUGAGGCAGCAGUCGAAGGUAGAAUCGAUGAUUGGGGUG